UACGUAGGGGGCAAGCGUUGUCCGGAUUUAUUGGGCGUAAAGAGCGUGUAGGCGGUUAGAUAGGUCCGUUGUGAAAACUCGAGGCUCAACCUCGAGACGCCGAUGGAAACCAUCUGACUAGAGUCCGGAAGAGGAGAGUGGAAUUCCUGGUGUAGCGGUGAAAUGCGCAGAUAUCAGGAAGAACACCCGUGGCUAAGGCGGCUCUCUAGUACGGUACUGACGCUGAGACGCGAAAGCGUGGGGAGCGAACAGG
rnacentral:rRNA from 1 species